rnacentral:pre_miRNA from 1 species
AAACUACUCCCUCCGUUCAGAAUUACUUGUCACAAAAAUGGAUGUAUUUACAACUAAAAUACAUCUAGAUAUAUUCAUUUCUUGGACGAGUAAUUCCGAACGGAGGGAGUACUAG